UGCGGGGUGGAGCAGUCUGGUAGCUCGUUGGGCUCAUAACCCAAAGGUCGUGGGUUCAAAUCCCACCCCCGCUACCA
rnacentral:tRNA from 2 species